rnacentral:rRNA from 1 species
GCUGGCGGCGUGCCUAACACAUGCAAGUCGAGCGGUAACAGGUGUAGCAAUACAUGCUGACGAGCGGCGAACGGGUGAGUAAUGCUUCGGAAUCUGCCCAAUGGUGGGGAAUAACCAGCCGAAAGGUUGGCUAAUACCGCAUAAGUCCUACGGGGGAAAGCAGGGGAUCGCAAGACCUUGCGCCGAUGGAUGAGCCGAAGUCGGAUUAGCUAGUUGGUAGGGUAACGGCCUACCAAGGCGACGAUCCGUAGCUGGUCUGAGAGGACGACCGGCCACACUGGGACUGAGACACGGCCCAGACUCCUACGGGAGGCAGCAGUGGGGAAUAUUGGACAAUGGGGGAAACCCUGAUCCAGCGACGCCGCGUGUGUGAAGAAGGCCUGCGGGUUGUAAAGCACUUUUAGUGGGGAUGAAAAGCUCAGGGCUAACACCUCUGGGUCUUGACCUAACCCAAAGAAAAAGCACCGGCUAACUCUGUGCCAGCAGCCGCGGUAAUACAGAGGGUGCGAGCGUUAAUCGGAAUUACUGGGCGUAAAGCGUGCGUAGACGGUUAUGUAAGUCGGGUGUGAAAGCCCCGGGCUCAACCUG